rnacentral:rRNA from 1 species
AUGUGGCAAUGGAUCCGCGGACGGAUUCCGUCUGGCGUAGAGGUCCGCAAGCGCAAUGGCUCCGGUACCGGCCUUUUCCCGCUUUGUGGCGUCCCUGAAGACUCGAAUCACAUCUUCUUCACUUGCGUGUCCGUCCAAUUUAUUUGGGGCUGUUUUCGUGAGGUGGUUGGUGGCAACUGGUGCCACACCAAUUUCCCCGACAUGUUCGCUGAACUCCAGGCCUCCUCCCCGCAUUCUCGCCACAUUAGGUCGCUGGAGAUUGGGACUCUUGCUUGGACCCUCUGGACGAUCCGCAAUAGAUUUGUGAUCCAGCGCAUUCCGCUUCGGCGUGCUACUGACACUCUCUUCAAACUGUCUGGUUACUUGCAGCUCUGGCAGCCGCUUAGCCGCCCCAGGAUCGGGACGCCAUCUCUGCCUUCAUCGCCGACCUCCGCUCGAUGGCCGUCCACUUAUCGCCGACGCUCCCUCCGCCACCUCCCGAGCCGGAUUAGGGGUCGGGUCCCUCCCCGGCCCCAUUUUGUGUUUAUUUUGGGCUUGUUGAGCUGUGCCCUCAGCAAAACCUUUUGUACUCUGUCUUGUGAGAGUUGUGUGUGUGUGGUGUGA